AUUGAACGCUGGCGGCAGGCCUAACACAUGCAAGUCGAGCGGAUGAAGGGAGAUUGCUCCUGGAUUAAGUGGCGGACGGGCGAGUAAGGCAUAGGAAUAUGACUGGUAGUGGGGGAUAAGGUCAGGAAACGGGCGCUAAUACCGCACACGACAUGAGGGUGAAAGGGGGGGAUCAUAGGACAAAAAGCUAUCAGAUGAGACUAGGACGGAUUAGCUAGUUGGUGGGGUAAAGGCGUACCAAGGCGACGAUCCGUAACUGAGCUGAGAGGCUGAUCAGUCACACUGGAACUGAGACACGGUCCAGACUCCUACGGGAGGCAGCAGUAGGGAAUCUUCAGCAAUGGGCGAAAGCCUGAUCCAGCCAUGCCGCGUGUGUGAAGAAGGUCUUCGGAUCGUAAAGCACUGUAAGUAGGGAGGAACAUCUGUGAGUUAAUCCCUUGCUGUCUUGACGUUACCUACAGAAUAAGCACCGGCUAACUUCGUG
rnacentral:rRNA from 1 species